AUAACAUAAUAGACACAGAUAAAUAUGAAAAUAUCAAGAAAAUCAGCAAAUUAGUAGAGAUGAUAAAGCAGUAACUAAUGAACAUAAUUAGAAGUUCUAAAUAUAUUUUAUUGUAAUUAUAAUAGAAGCUAAUGAUAUAAUAUUGAUUAUAUUAAUCAAAUAAAGUGGAUUUAUACUUCAUCAACUUUGGAAAUAUAAAAUCUAGUGAGCAUUACUAAGGAAUGAAAAAGAGAAGCUAUGGAGUAUGAAAUAAUGGUUGGUUAAGUAACAUUACCUCAAGAACAGGAAACAGUAACUGAAACUAUGUUCUUCUACAUUUAAUCUUAAUAAGUUCAGCAGUUUGAAUGUUAAUGAGACAUUAUUAUAAACAAACUGCAUUUGUAGAUUUUGGGAAGAAUUAUAUCUUUACAAUAACUAUUAUUAUUUACAAUUGUUGUGUUAAGGAAACAAUCACUAUUUUUUUAAUCGCCCAGGAUGUAUUCAUAGUAACUAUAGGUAUCAUAGUAAUUUUAUGAAGCAUCACAACAUCUAACAUUAGGUUUUAUGAAUUGAACAAUUUUUUGUAUAUAACAGCACACAAACAAGAUAUUGACAUUGCUGCAAACUAACACUUACAUUUAUUAGUUAAUUAUCUACAUAUAUAAAUAUGAAUACAUCUACAUUAGGUAGUAAUGCAUUUAAUUUGAUGCACCUCUGUGUGUUCUGUUUUGUUUAAUAAGUUGUUACUUAUGCUUAUUUUUCUAUGUAGACUGCAUUAUGUUAAGGAAGAUAUUU